rnacentral:rRNA from 1 species
CAUUACCGAGUGCGGGUUCCAACGAGCCCAACCUCCCACCCGUGUUUACCAUGACCGCGUUGCCUCGGCGGGCCCACUGGGGCCUGGCCCCGGUCGCCGGGGGGCUUCUGCCCCCGGGUCCGCGCCCGCCGAAGCGCCCUGGAACCCUGUCUGAAUAGUGAGUCUGAGUCUAUGAUUAAAUCAUUAAAACUUUCAACAACGGAUCUCUUGGUUCCGGCAUCGAUGAAGAACGCAGCGAAAUGCGAUAAGUAAUGUGAAUUGCAGAAUUCCGUGAAUCAUCGAAUCUUUGAACGCACAUUGCGCCCCCUGGCAUUCCGGGGGGCAUGCCUGUCCGAGCGUCAUUUCUGCCCUCCAGCCCGGCUGGGUGUUGGGUGUUGUCCCCCCGGGGACACGCCCCAAAGGCAGUGGCGGCGCCGCGUCGGGUCCUCGAGCGUAUGGGGCUUUGUCACCCGCUCGGGACGGACUCGUCGGCGCUGGUCUUCCUCCAGGCGACCCUUCGGGGCCCGUCUACCUUCGGUUGACCUCGGAUCAGGUAGGGUUACCCGCUGAACUUAA